UCUCCCCCAUCCUUCUGUGUCAGGAAAAUAAAAUUGAGAAAAAAAAGGGUUCUGGGUAGUAUAGUCAGAAAAAUCUAUAAAUAGGAGCUCUUCUUUUCUUUAUUUUCCCGAUCCACUCGUUCAAUAGUGGACUUUGAUUCAACAUAAAGACGGCUUAGGGAUAAAAAAGUUAGAGAAGUUUGAACAGUGGUAGAAAAUGUUGUUACCAAAAAAGGAAGUAGCAGGAUGUGUUUUAGGCAACUAAAGUCUCCCUAACCCUAGUUUUUAUAAAUGUUCAUCCUAGUCUGGAGAUUAAAUUCAGAUUCCAUAUGACCACUAUACAAUUAAUUAAGCCCGCUUAGCUUUAAACCAUUCUCAAGAAAUGGAUAUACUGGUCUUUUGGUGUUUUUUCUUCAUAGUUUUAUUUACUUCCAAUUUAAACUUAUAUUCAUGAGGUGCAUAAUAUCUACAGGAUUCUCUUUUUUACAAUAUUCAGAACGUAAUCAAUUAUAUUGUACUGUAUCUUGAUUUACAUGUUAGCUUAAACAUUUUGUACUCAUGAACUAAUUAAAGUAACUUUCGUACUCUCUUCAAUGAAUUAUUUCCUUGUUGCUGAUACAAAAAUUAAAGACUAUAAUCAAUCAUAAGUACUUAUUCCAAUAUCUGAGAGUAUCUCACCAAUUUGUUUAAACUUAUUUGUUGAAAAAAAAAUAUUUAUUUUAAUAAAAGAGGCCACUUUUGAUUUUAUUGUACGUGUUUGAUUCUUAAUUGGUAUAAGUGCAGUGAAGAUCAUGGCCUCAUCUAGCUACUCUAACUCUCGAUCCAAUGAAAUUAUUUCCUAGUUGCUGCCUAUAAAAAUUAAAGACUAUAAUCAAUCAUAAGUACUUAUUCCAACGUUUCUGAGAGUAUCGCGUCAAUUUAUUUAAAUAUUUAUUGAAAAAAAAUACUUAUUUUAGUUGUACGUGUUUGAUUCUUAAUUGGCAUUACUGCAGUGAAGAUCAUGGCCUCAUCUAGCUACUCUAACUCUCCCUGUGCUGCCUGCAAGUUCCUGAGAAGGAAAUGCAUGCCGGAUUGCAUUUUCGCGCCAUAUUUCCCACCAGAAGAGCCUCAGAAAUUCGCCAAUGUGCACAAGAUAUUCGGUGCAAGCAACGUGAGCAAGCUUCUGAAUGAGGUGCAGCCUCAUCAGAGAGAGGAUGCAGUGAAUUCUCUGGCCUAUGAAGCCGAGGCAAGGAUAAAGGAUCCAGUUUAUGGGUGUGUUGGGGCAAUCUCAGUGCUCCAAAGGCAAGUGAUUAGGCUCCAGAAGGAACUUGAUGCCACAAGUGCUGAUUUGAUUCGUUAUACUUGCAAUGAAAUGCCAACUACUACUCAAGAUGGUAGAAGGAUUAUUGGUGAAGGGGGUGGUUCUUCUCUUGGUCAAUCUUCUGGUUACUAUUACCCUUCUCCUUGGAACAAUGAUACACUUGGAGAUGGUUAUCACAGAGGUGACAAUAUAUAAUAUAGUAUAUAUGUGAUUUUAAUUUCAACCUUGUUAAGUAUGAAAUGAAAUUUAUCCUACUAUUAGUUAAGGAGUUAUAAAUAUAUCCCUUUAGGGUUUCUUAAUUAUUGUAUAGUAUUUGAGAUGAAGGGGUGGUAUAGUCAUAGUGUGGUGGGUCGGGGGGGAUGUGAAUAAAUAUUGUGUGUAGUAAUUGUGAGGGUGCCCUUCAUAUUUCAUAAAAUGAAGUGUCUCUUGUUAUAAAUGUAACUGAACUUGUACGUCUCUAAUUAGCAGUCUCAUAAAUGAAAAUUUCGUUUCAUAACAAAACUCAAUUGUCUGGUGAUUUCUCGUAGGAAGGGAAAUUGUAUUUGUUCAUAUUAAUAAAUGAUUUUCUCAUGUCACAAACAUAUAACAUACUUAUAUAUAAUAUUGUGUUACACGUACUACUCCUUAAGCUCUAACAAUAAUAAUAAGUCAUUCUUACAAAUAUUGGAUCAAUCUCCAUACAAAUACUAUAAAAACAAUAUGCUCGAAUCAAGACAACAUAAAAUUUACCCUGUAACAUCCAAAUAGAAAAAAGAAAUAAACGAUUAAAAUGUUUUACUAUUUCCGAAUUCCGAAUUACUUUGCAACACAUAUAUUAAUUAUAUAUAUGCUCAUCUUUGAGACCACCAAAUUCAGACUAUAUUUUUUCCCUUUUCUUUUUGAUGAGAAACCUAGCUAGGAAAGAUAUCCGAAGUGGCCCCCACGUAUAGCACUCCGAACUGACUAUCAUUAUGAAUUGUAAGAAAUUGGUAGCUAAACAAAAUCAUAUUAUUGGUCUAUUUUUUUUUUACUAAAAUUAGUCGAGUAUGUUGAUACCAACUGGUUGGGUUCUAACAGAAGAAAUUAACCCCUUUAUAAUAUGAUAAAUCAAAUUUAAUUAAAUUUUCGUUUGAAAAAUAUUCGUUUUUAUUUUCCGACCAUGUUUCAAACAUGCUUAAUUUCGAAGAAGAUUAAUACUGUAGAAAACAAAAACAAAAAAAACUAUUCAUUUGGAUCUUCUAUAUAUAAUAAUAAUAAAAAAAACUAGUUGGAACCUACCUUUUCGCAUGAACUUCCUCUUUCUAUGUACUAUCACUUAGAUAUUAUGGAGUAAUAUAUAUUACUCGGUGCAUAAGGACUUGAGAGUUGAGAAGGCCAUGAUCUGAGAACGGCCUUUGCAAAACACCAAGCUAUCUUCACAAACAUACGUAACGCGUUACUUUUGAUGUUCAAUUAUCUAUUUAUAAUAGCUGUGUAAUAAUAGCACGCAGUUCAAAUCGCCAAAAAGAGAAGACAGAUUACCUCUUAUCCCGGUGUGCUUCACUUUUUCAAUUCAUCAUAAGUUAAAAAAAGCCUUAUUAAUGUGAGCAAAUGGGAGAGGGCUAUGGCAUUUUUUUCAGCGUAUAAUUCUCCCUCCAACAUAUGUGAUGAUGGUCAUAGGAAGAGGACUGGAAACUGUUAAUUUGUUGACUUUAUGGUUUAUGCAUUUUGAUUGAUUAUUGUAUUUGUUACAUGAAGAAAGAAUAUAUAUUAUUAUUAGAGAAAAUGAGAUAUACACUGAUAGGGGAAAGUUUUAUGCAGUUAUAUAUAAUUAUAAUUCAUUAUAUAUGAUAAAUUUAUUAACUUUUAAAUAAUUAUUUUAAAAUAAUUUAAAGAUGAUUUAUGAUUAAAUAAUAAUAUAAAACUGUUUUAAACUAUCCAUAGACAUUAAAAUAUUAUUAUUAUUUGUGAUGUUUCCGUGAUUGCAUUUCCAUGUCCUCUCUUCAUUAGAACAUUAUGAUUAUGAUGAGUAUCAAGCAUAAGUGGUACUGGUACUGGUGCCUAGGGAUGGAGGAUAUAUAUUCCCACACCAAAGGGAUUGUUCUGUUCAAUGACAUGUGAUCAUAAGGGUACAUAAUACAUUGAACCUUUAGACAAGUAAAUAUGCAUGAUGCGGAUAAAACGGGGCAUUUUCUUCACCCCCUUCUCUCGCGCUGAGCCAUGCGAAUAAUAAUAUUCUAGUUAUUGCUCAGUCUUCUGGAUCACAUUAAUAACCCUAUUCAUUCUUCUGCUCUAUAGCCUAAACUAUAUAUAUAACACCUUUGUGUUAAUAAUUCCCUUCAACCAUUCAUUCUUGUGCAGUUAUAUAUACGAACUUGUGGAUUGCAAUUCACCACCCCAUUUGCUAAUCAAGUUUAAUAACUUAUAAGUGAUAGGUUCAAUUCAUUGGUAGCAGAAACUAUACUAAUUAUAUAUAUGGAGGUACGUAGCAUUAUUAAUUACUUUAACAAAUGAAUGCAUAUAUCUUCAUCUUUCUAUAUAUACUAGCUAGCUUCCUGAUAUUAAGAUAUGCAUUCAUAUAAAUACAAAAAAUAAAUAAAUUAAAAGUAAAGAUUGAGAUUCACUAUCCUUUUGGUGGGUUUUCUGGGGCCUUUAUUAUCUCGUUCUAAAUUCUAAUUAAUAAUGGCUUUUGUGUUCUGUACCUUUGUCUUUAAUUUUAAUUUUGUGAAUGUGUUUGCAACCUUCUGUGGUUAGGAUCAAUAUGUUCGGACACAUAUAUACUAAUUCUUCUAUUAUUUAGUCAAAAGUAGGUCACCAGUGCUGGAAUGAAAUAAUACAAUGAAAAUUCCAUAUAACAUUAUACGAAGUUAGGUAAUUGAAUGUUGACACUACUACAAAAGUUAUAUACUACGACGUGCUAACAAGGACGGUCCACAGAAAACGGCAUAGAAUCUUUAGAUUGGAAGUUCAAGGACGGUUAUUUUGAAAAUCCGUCUUUGAAUUGUUAUAUUUUUUUAUCUCUUUUAUCUUAUCUUCUCGGAUACACUGUUGACCCUUCAUUUUUCAUUGACCCUUCAUUUUCCUCUCUCAUUGUUGCCUUGUAUUUCCCUUUCUUUUUGUCAUUUUCUCUCUUUGGCAGAGGACGACAUGGGUGGAUGUGGACCACGAGCUUCACUCCAAUGACCUCACCACCUCACGUGCCACCGUCUGAGUGUCAUCUCCCUCAUCUUCGCGAGCAGCUCUGGGUGCAAUUCGAGCAACACCACCGCCCACACAAGCGACGAAGUGGAUGCGUCCUGCGUCGCGAAGAGGAAGUCAAAGAGGUAGCCACUGAUCUCGGCGUCGAUGGAGAUCGGCUGCGGCGUGUCUCCGGCGAGCUUGGCCUCCUUGAUUUCACUGAGCGUGUCUUGCUCCCUAGGCAGUCGAGCCUCCAAUUCUCCAAUGAAGCGAGACACUGGUGCCGGCGGCGACGAUUCCUCCCCUCUCAUUCCCAACAACCACCUCGUCGACGACGAUUCCUCUCUCAUUGGAUGAGUGUCGAUCGUGCUCUUCGUCGUCGGCGAGGUGGUUGUCGGAAUGAGAGGGAGANNNNNNNNNNNNNNNNNNNNNNNNNNNNNNNNNNNNNNNNNNNNNNNNNNNNNNNNNNNNNNNNNNNNNNNNNNNNNNNNNNNNNNNNNNNNNNNNNNNNNNNNNNNNNNNNNNNNNNNNNNNNNNNNNNNNNNNNNNNNNNNNNNNNNNNNNNNNNNNNNNNNNNNNNNNNNNNNNNNNNNNNNNNNNNNNNNNNNNNNNNNNNNNNNNNNNNNNNNNNNNNNNNNNNNNNNNNNNNNNNNNNNNNNNNNNNNNNNNNNNNNNNNNNNNNNNNNNNNNNNNNNNNNNNNNNNNNNNNNNNNNNNNNNNNNNNNNNNNNNNNNNNNNNNNNNNNNNNNNNNNNNNNNNNNNNNNNNNNNNNNNNNNNNNNNNNNNNNNNNNNNNNNNNNNNNNNNNNNNNNNNNNNNNNNNNNNNNNNNNNNNNNNNNNNNNNNNNNNNNNNNNNUCAAAGGAGGCCAAGCUCGUAGAAGACACGGCGACGCCGAUCUACCGUGGACGGCGAGCUCCAGGUGGCUACCUCUUCGACCUCCUCUUCACGGCGCAGGACGCAUCCACUUCGUCGCUUGUGUGGGCGGUGGUGUUGCUCGAAUUGCACCCAGAGCUGCUCGCGAAGAUGAGAGAGAUGACACUCAGACGAUGGCACGUGAGGUGGUGAAGGUCAUUGGAGUAAAGCUCGUGGUCCCACAUCCACCCAUGUCGUCCUCUGCCAAAGAGAGAAAAUGACAAAAAGAAAGGGAAAUACAAGGCAACAAUGAGAGAGGAAAAUGAAAGGUCAGUGAAAAAUGAAGGGUCAGCAGUGUAUCCGAGAAGAUAAGAUAAGAGAGAUAAAAAAAUAUAACAAUUCAAAGAUCGAUUUUCAAAAUAACCAUCCUUGAACUUCCAAUCUAAAGAUUCUAUGCCGUUUUCUAUAGACCGUCCUUGUUAGUACGUCUUAGUAUAUGACUUUUUGUAGUAGUGACUUGUAUUACAACUUUCAAUUCUUAAAUUAAAUCUAACUUAUCAAUAUGCAUGCAUGGCUUUAGUCUGUUCCAACAUGUAUAAUAUAAAAAAGACAAAAAAUGUAUUUUAAAUAGGAUUAUAAAAGGACAGAAAACAUCACCAGUAAAAGAUUAAAAAAGGCACGUAGCUACAUUAAUUAUAUUAGGAGGGAGAAUGAUAUGACAUACCUACUUUUUACAAAGAAAAUGUUUACUCCUAAUUUUAAUUGCCUAGAAGUUAGUUAGUAAUUUUUUCUUAUAUAUGCAUUUUGUUAAAAUAGUAUAUAUAUAUAUAUAUAUAUAUAUAUAUAUAUAUAUAUAUAUAUAUAUAUAUAUAUAUAUAUAUAUAUAUAUAUUAGCAUUUAGUAAUAUUUUUGGUGCCUAUAGUAACAUUUAGUCACCUCAUAACAAUGAAGAAAAUUUUCACAUUUUCGUUUAAAAUUAAAAACAAUUGUUUAUUUUUAUAAUUUUAUAACUAACACUAACAUUUACUAAUAUUUUAAAAAUAUAGUAUUUCUUAAAAUAAAUUGUGAUGAAGUAUUAAUUAUUUUUAAAUUUUAGACUUAAUUUAUUUAAUAAAAACUUUUCAUCUCACAGUUAAACUAGUGAGAUUUUAUAUUCAUGAAAGUUUGUUAAAUAUAAUGAAUUUUACAGCACUUGUUUCUGAUAUAAGUAGAUAGAUAUCCAUUUUUGAAAACAUAUAUUAUAUUUUUCGCCAGGAAUGUAUUACAGUUUAUAAAGUCAUCUUUUUUUUUCUAUCUUCAAAAUUAUUAUUCCGAAUUAGCAGAACAUAAAAAGAUCUGAUCACACCCCCUGAUAGGUAGGAAGUUUCCGGCUUUAAAUAUUUAUUGAGACAAGAUAAAUGUAAGUGCUGUGCUUGUAANNNNNNNNNNNNNNNNNNNNNNNNNNNNNNNNNNNNNNNNNNNNNNNNNNNNNNNNNNNNNNNNNNNNNNNNNNNNNNNNNNNNNNNNNNNNNNNNNNNNGCAAUUCGAAAAUAACUAUAACCCUUGCUAAGCAGCAUUCUUUGUAAUUCUUAUACCAAUUUUCACCCUUAUUACUCCCUUCUAUUAUAUGUUUAUUAUUUCAGCCCAUUUAAACAUGUCAUUAGAUUUAUCAUGAAAUAGUUUUAGUAAUUAAAAAAAUCAAAAGUGAGAAUGAGAAGAUGUUAUUGAAAGAAAGGUUAGUAUAAGAAGACAUAAAACUAGGAUCAAUAUAGCUAUUAAAAAAUUAAAAAAAUUAUAUUGAUUUUACUUUUUUCAUUUAAAUCUCAUCAUUUUUUUUUUAUUUUUUUACUAACUAAUGUAAUUUUAAUGUAUUUUUAAAAAUUCAUAGAGUCCUUUCCCAUCUUAUAAAUCUAUAAAAUUAUUUCAAAUCCUUUAAAUUCUUAUAAUAUAAACCAAUAUAUCCCUAAGUAAAAAGUUGUAUAAAAAUUAACUAAAAUAAAAAGUAAAUGUUUUGUAAGUAUGAAAAAUACAUUCAAGGUUUUCUAACAAAAAGUACGUAUGAAUUAUUUUAUUUCAAAAUUUACAUGACUUCCAACAAAAAAUUAUUUCAUUUGAGAAUAUUUAUAAAUCAAUUAUCAAAACUGUGUUUUUUCUUAUAUUAGAGGAGUAUCUUUGAAUCACACACGAACACAACAAAUCCAAAGCAUUGUUCACUGGGCGACAAAAUGUGUGGAAAUGAUGUUCAUUCACUCUCAAAAACUAAUGGGCCACCCUUCCAUCACAAUGACUUGGUCACUUUAGUUUUCAGAGAUUUUCUUUUUACAUAUAUAACAUUAAAUUUUUUUAAUGUAUACAUAUAAAUUUAUAUAAUAAAUUUUAUAAUAAUUAAUUUUAAUUUAAUAAUAUAUUUUAUAUAUAUAUAAAUUUUUAUAAAAUUUAAAAUUUAUAUAUAUAAAAAAUAUAUUAUUAUAUCAAAAUUUAUUAUGUAAACUUAUAUAUAUAUAUUAGAAAUUUUAGUGUUAUAUAUAAUAAUAUUAAUUAUUUUUUAAUACAAUUAACUUAUUAGUUUGAUUGACUACAAUAUGGUAUUAAUAACACAAAAGUUUACAUGAAUUAUUAAUUUUAAAUUAUCUUAUAAAAUAUAUUUUAAUUGAAUGCAGAAUAUGGGUCUUAGGCAUAAGGAAGAAAAUUCCUAGUUUUGAUUGAUUGACGAGACAAAUGAUAUGCCCAAAAUUAAAGCCCGGUGAGUGAACUCAGGCACAUGCCAGGGGAGCAAAAAAGUCUUGAAAAUUGCUUUGCACACCUAACAAAUUGUUUGUGCACCUAACACGUUUUGAGUUUUUCCAAAAUUACCCCUAACAAAUUUAUGGAUCCGUAAUCUGUAUGAACCCAUUAUGGAUUCACAGUCCCUAUGAACCCAUAUAGAUUGAAAAAACAGGAUUCCAACUAGUGACUUUUAGGUUAUUAACAUGAAUUAAUUUUUCAGGUUAUAUGUGAAUUAAAAAAAUAUGUGUUACGAAUUAAUUUAAAAUUAAUAAUCCAUGCAUGCAAGAUUUGAACAUGUGACUUUCAGGUUUGAAUCCUGCUUUAUCAAUCCGUAUGGGUCCAUAUGAAUUACGAAUUCGUAAUGGGUCCAUACAGAUUACGGAUCCAUAAAUUUGCCCAAGGAUAAUUUUGAAAAAAAAUGGAAAAAACACUAUGUACACAAGCAAUUUACAAAUCAAUUCCCAAAAGUCUUUAUUCCUGGCUCAUUGAUUCAAUUCUAAUAAAUUCUUUUUGUAUUUUUUUAGAGGAAGAAUUUAUUCUCCUAAGAAUCAUGAUUACCAUUAGAUGUACAUAUACGGGAUUUAUACAAUUUUUAAAAGCUAAAUAUGAAAUUGAAUAAUAUGAUGUAUUUCUCGGAGGGAAAAACUUCCCCGAAUAUAUAAGUAAGAAAUUCUCAAUUUAUAAUGCUAAUUGAGUGACACAGCAUAUAUAGGCAAAUUAGGAGGAUUUUUUUUUCUUGGCAUAAUUAACAUAACUAGCUAAUCAAUUGGGUAUAUAUAUAUAAAGAUACACCCAAUUGAGAAAUUGGGUUAAUAGAUUACAUUUUCACAUAUACCUAAUAUUUUUUUUAAUUCAAAAUUUCAAUACAAAGUAACUACAAUAAUUCAUACACUGGACACAACUCAACUAAUUAAGUAAUCAACUAACUAAGACCCUUUUAAUACAUAGACCCAAUAUUACUUAUAUAAAAUUGAGUUAGUGGAUUCUUUAAGCAUUUUUUUCUGCAUUUGAAAUAAAUAAUUAUGAAUACCAAGUCAUGUAUUUGAUUAAAUUAAAAUAUUUUUCAAGUAAUGCCUUUCUGAAAUUAAUAUUAAGAAAACUACAAAACUUGAAUAUAUUUUUUUUUAGAACAAAACUUGAAUAUUCAUUUCAUAACAAAAACAUAUUUAUUUCAAUUAUCGAUCAAUGAAUAUUUCAGUCAUUAUUAUUUUUAUAAAAAUAAUGAGUAGCCAGCAAUGAUAUUCCUAUAACAUUUUAGUAAAGUUAGUUUCAUUGUUCAAAGUCUUUUGAUUAAUUUAACAAGGUUAAAAUUUGCAGAUGUCCUAACCAAAAUUAGAGUAAUGUGAAGAAUCCGAUCAUACCAGAUGAUAGUGAUAUCAUGUAAAAUUGAAAAUGGUAGAAAACCUCAAUUUAGUUCUCUAAAGUUCUAGAUGUAAGCAAUAUAUAUGUUUAGUUUUUUCGUUAUCUACAAAGAUACAAUUUAUUAAUAUAUAUCAACCCUGCAUAAGAUAUGCAUGAGCUAGCUAACAAAUCAAGAGUUUUUUAUCCCAAAAAUACAAAACAAAUAAAAAAAUUACACAAAUAAUAUAAGCAUCGAAUUAUUUAUCAAAGUGAUAUACAAAUUAGUGUUGCCUUUGAAAAUUCAGUGCCCCCCCAAUCGCAUUUCUCAUUGUCCCACCUUUAACUUUUUGCUUCACAACAUUGGAAAAAACCGAUUACCUACAAACUGAUUUUUCAAUGUGCCAUUGCAUUUUUUUUAAUUGUAUAUUUCUUUAUUUUGUUUUUGAAAUUUUUUUCUUCUUUUCAGAGCUUUUUAUUUCUUUUUAAUUUCCAAUUUUAUGAUUUAAUUUUCUUUUAAAAAAAUAUUAAUUUUAGAAAUUAGUUAAUUCCUUUAAACUUUUCAUGGAGGCCGGUGACUAUUUGUGUCAUUUUAUCUAUGUUUAUGAUGUUUUAUGGGUCAAACAAUAGUUUAGUCCCAUAAAUUUCAAGUACAUGAAUCCGAUGGUACAAGUUUAACAUAUUGAAUCAAAAUAUUAAUGCUUCAAAAUUAUGUUUAAAAAUGCAAAAAAAAAAAAAAAAACUAAAGAUCAUCCUAUAUAUUCAUCGAAAUGAAUAUGAAGGAACUAGAUUAGCCAAAAAGAUGUUUCAUAUGUCGCACAAUCCAUGCCAUUCUAAAAACAAAUGUCCUACCUUGUUAAAAACGCAAGCUCAAACCAACAACAUUAUUAAGUCAAAAGAUAUUUAUAUCUUAAGACGAACUAGUACUACUAAUAUUUUGAUUAAAUGUAAAUAUAUAUGUACAAAUGUUAAAAGUUAUGUUUUAAGUGAUAUCAUAACAUGUUUCGUGAGUCUGCGUCUCAGGUAUCAGAUAAUAGUUAGUUAAAGACAUUAUUUGAUACAACAUUUAAAAGAUGACAAUUAAGACUUUAUUUAAUACUUUGUGUUAAGAUUUGUUUUGAAGAGACAUUCUCUUAAGAUAUGUCGAAUUCUAUGAAAAAUAAAUGAAAUUCAAGAUUUGAAAGUUGCCCAUUGUCAUCAAUAGGCGCGCUUUGCUGUGCAGACCUGGUUUGGUUAAAGGGAAGUGAUUUUCUUUUGAAGUGUUCUACACAAAAAUCAAUCAGAGUGGUUUCACUACAUGAGGAAGAACAUGCAUUUAAAUACUCCAAUGACCAUACAUAUCAGACAAAUGCUUAAGUAAAGAAAUUCAUUUGUUGUAAGACAAUGAACACUUUAAGAUGAAGGCCUAUAAAUAUCAUAAGCUUUGAAAAAAUGAGUCACAAACCUUACACACAUUUAUUGAAAUUCUUUAUGUAAAGAAUUAUCUGUAAAAUUUUGUAAAUCUUAGAAAACUCUCAAAACACGUUAAACAUUUUGAGAAAAUAGACUAAGAGCUGAGAUUGUAUAUUUGUUUAUAAGACACUUAAAAAGUUAGUCAUUAUGCAAACACAACAACAAAUCUUUCUGAUAGCUAACAGAGUCAUUGCACAAACACAACAGCAAAUCUUUUUUAAUCUGAAUUAAAGUUGUGAAUUAAAUACAAAUUUUAUUAACAAAUUAAUUUUAAUUUUUUAGAGAAAUAUUAAAAUAUUUUUAAAAUAUGAAAAUCCACUCUAGAAAAUAAUGAGAAAAAAUGAAAAAAAUAAAAUAUAUACAAUUAAAUUAAAAAAAUAAAAAAAAUAUAAAUGGCACGUUGGAAAACUAAUGUAAAAAAAAAUUAAAAUAAAAAAAAUAUAGAAUUAAAAAAAUGAAAUGAAAAAAAAAAUAUGUUGAAAAAUCGGUGCAUGCAAAACCGAUUUUUCAUUGAAAGCAAACACGAAUUUGGGGAUGACCGAUUUCUCUCGUAGAAUAUUGAUUUGUAUGUAAAUAUUUUAGUAUAUGUAUUAGUUAUGUAACUUUUUUUUUUUUUUUUUUGUAUUUUUGGGUAAAAAGACUCACAAAUCAAUGGAACUUUUUACGUACAACAGUAUUUAACCGCCUCUCACCCUUACAAAAACACGAAAAACUAAUUGAAAUUUGAAAAAAUAGCUUUUUUUUUUAUUAGAGUUAGAGAAUGUAGUUGAUAGUUAUUGAUUAUUAAGUAUUUUGGUAAAUUUAUUUGUUAGAGUUAUUAAUAAAUAUAAAAUAGAAUAAACACGUUUAUGUAAAAAUUGUUUAUAAAUUUUAAUUUAAUUUUAUUAAUAAAUAUAUGUUCAAAGUAUUUAUAAUUUUACCUUUUAAAUUAAUUUUAAACUCUUACAAUUUUUUAUUUUAAAUUAAUUAUUUUAAUUUUAUUUUGUUAUUUCGUAUUGUGUAUUCUACUGCUAACUUAUUUAUAUUAUAUCUUAAAAUAUUUUAAAUCAAGUUUAAAAUAACGUAUUUGUGCCUUUUGAUAAAGGGAUACACAUCGUUACUACUUAUACUAAUUGUUACUAAUUGUUGUUGGUUGUAAAAAUAAAAUAUACUUACUUAAGUAUAUGUCAUAUUUUUUAUUAUAUUUUGUGCAAUAGUUAAAAUAUAUUGAAGUAUAUAAUGUUAAAAUAAAAAUAUAAAUAGUGUAAUGGUUAAAAUAAAUAAUAUAUCAUAAAAUUAAAAACCUACCUUAUUAGUAAGUUAUGUUACUUAUGUUGAGGCUCCAUUCCUUGCAAGAUUCUCAAGCCAACUUUCAAUUUGCAUCCUUACUGGUGAUCUUUGUCUUUUCACUCUUUUGUGUUGCUGUCACUUUCUCCAACCAAUGUCUUUGUUGAUUGAGGAUUCAGCUCUAGAGAACUAUCUUGUAGCUAAUAUACAGAGGCUUAUAUUGAAGGAUAUACUUAAUACACAUUCUUCCUGGUAAGACUUUAGCUAGCAACGUCAUUAAAUACCUUUUUAUUCAUCGGACAAUGUUUACUCGUUAAAAUUUAUUGAUGCACAAAUAACUCAAACCGUUGAUAUAAUUAGCAUUAAAAUUAAAUUAUUUAAUGGGUGAAAUUAGUGAGUCAUAACCCUUUAAAAUAUUUUUUGUUAAUUUCAAAUUAAGGCUAGUCCUUUCGAGAGUUUUUUUUAUUGACCAUGAUAUUAAUACAAAGUAUGUUAUUUUAAAAUAAAUAUCAACUUUACACUCGAUAAGUCAACAUUGUCUCUUUGAGACAAUAUCAAUUCGGAGACAACUCGAGAACAACAAUCAAUAAAUAUCAACCUUUAUAUGUUAUGAACAUGUGGCACAAAAUAUAGACAUAUGAUCAAGAUCAACCUAAAGAUUAUAAGCAGGCUACAAACUCAAGAAGCUGACUCAAGUAAGAAGUACCCUAGUGGCAAACCAACUUUGGACAAGUUUGACGUAACCUUCAGAAUAGGACAAUUAACGCACAUACUUGUAAUAAGACAUGUGGCCGAUAACGUCAUGCAUGCAAACACUAUAAAUAGCUUGACAUUCUAUAAUCAUAAAUGAAGGAGACGUCAUAACUCAAUACUACAAGAAUUCUAAGAUCUUUCUCUCCAAAACUCUCUCUAGUUUAUCUCUCUAACUUUCUCUCUCUCUCAACCGAGUUCACACUGCAUAAACCAAAUCGCACUUUGUCCUACACCAUAACAAUGUUGUUGUCUGUGGGAAACAUAUAUUCUCUAGGAUAAAAGGAUCCAUAGUUCAUGGAUCUUUGUUAUGGUGAGCACCCGAAACAAAAAAGCUUCAACGACAACAACAACUUCUUCACCUGUGAUUGAAGCCACAAAUUCUCCAAGGAUGGAGGAGAAUGUAGCAUUCAUGAGCGCGCAAUUGACUGAGCUUGUUGAGAUGCUCAAACAACAAAAAGUAGUGCUUGAAGAACAACAUAAAGUGAUUGCAGAUCUACGAAUAGAAAAUGAUGAUGUACAAAAUGAACACUCAAAGUCAGUAGAAGACAAAUGAGAUUAAUAGGCAAAGAAAAAUAGUGUAAAAAAGGAAUCGACCAAAUCAAAAUUUCAAAUCCCAUUGAAAUCCAUAAAAAAGAGGAUCUUUGAUUACUAUUGUAACGAAUAUGGAACAAAAGGUGGAUUUUGAUGAAGUUAUUCCUUUGAUGACAAUUGCUAUCAUACAAGUGCAUCCGUCAAAUUGCUAUCAUACUUGUGUAGUGGUUGUAUAUGUAUUUUCAUUUGAUGACAAUUAUGUCACAUCAACAUUUUCAUUAAAUAUUAGAUGUCAAAUUAACAGGCAAACCAAAGUUUCUCAAUUAAAAUAGUGAGGGGUCAAAUUCGCAAAAAAAUAAUAAUAAUGAAGGGAUCAAAUUCAAUUAAUUACAAUAAUAAUGGGACCAAAAGUGAAAUUAAGCCUAAACAUUGCCAUUUUUUGAAAACUUUCUAGCUCAUUCAAUCAUAUUUAUGUUUUUUUUAUCAUAACUUAGUACUUUGAUGGCCUUUGACUCAACACAAAGAAAUGAAGAAAUUACAAUAAUGAAAAACCUAAAGGGUGUUACCUUUUUUUCCAUCCUUAUGUUACUAGAUUAUGGAAAACUAGACAAAUAAGAAUAUCUGAGUUAACUGCGUGAAAACUAAAACUUAAGCAUCACAAGAACAAAAGUUAUACAAAGCCUUUAACACUUAUGUGCCUUAAAAACCUGACCAAGGUACGUAAAACAUAAAACCAAUUCUCAUACAUUGGGAGAUACAAACUCUACCAAUCUUCUUUCAUGCAAACAACUCCAUGCUCUAAGGUUCUCCUAUGAGAAUGCCCACCUACUUAACCUGUAAAAAUAUGAAGUUUAAAGAAACAAAGCAUAAUGUUUCAGUAAGUGCUCUAAGGACUUUAGGUUGAAUCUCUAUUCUAGAAAUCAUUUUCUUAACUCUCAUGGUUUCUCAUUUUCUUUUCUUAAGAACUCUAUCUCACAACUAUUAUCCCAUCUCAUUAUCAUUUCUAUCUCCUUGGGCCAUGCCUUUGUUGGAGUUAGCCCUAACAGCCAAUCCAUUUCAGACUAUAUUUGUAUCGUGACUUUGGUUUAUACAUUUUUGUAAAUAAAUGAGGUGUGUCAAUUAUUAUGUUAUUAAUUGUAUAGCGUAAUAAUGUCCUAAGAAUAAAUUAUUCAUUUAAUGGCAAAUCAAGAGACUUGAUUGUGAGAUUCAUUGAACAAUCAAAUGGUGUUCUAAAAGUAUUCAUAGUCAAGUAUUAUUGAUGACUAGAAUGACAAUAAUGCAUUGAGGCUAUGCAUCUCACAGGUCAUGGACAUGAGAUAUCAAGUCGGCACGGGUAUAAAUAUUAGAAGUAAUAUUUAUACUAGAUAGAUCCACCAUGAGAAGUCUUCAUAAUAGUUAUGUAAGUGUCAUAAGUAUUUCUCAUGGCAACCAUCCUUUGACAUGAAGUCACUACGAUUCCUAUAUGUUUGGAGUUACAGGCUUUAAUGUUAUCAAACGUCAUCCGUAAAAGGGUAUCAUAAAGGUAGUACUUGGGCUUACAAUGAAUCAAGUGGAGGAAUAUGAGUAAUAUAGAUAGGAUUCCCUUUCUACAUAGUACACGUUAUGUCUAUAGGCCUCUUGAUAGAGUGGCAUGCGCUAUACGCAUGGCCACAUGCAAUGUAGAUAGGAUUCGUCCCUUUUACAUAACAAAGGUUAUGUUUGUAAGCCUCUCGAUAGAGUGGGACAUGCUAUAUGCAUGGCCACGCAGAAAUGAACCAAUAUGCGAUGUUGGACCUGUUUGUAUUUACGCGCCCCCACUCAGGUAUCGAGAAAUCGAUAAUUGGACUUAACGAGGAUGACACUCUUAUGCAUCAUGUUUGAUCAAGACAUUUGUACGAAUGGACAAAGGCUACAUGGUGGAAAUGAUUACGAUAAGGUUGAAAUCGAAUCAUCAAUUUUCUCAUGAGCUAGGUGGUAGCGAUACAUUGCUAAAUGUCAAUAAUUGUCUAUGAUAUUAUAAGAUAAUAUUAUUUCCAAUUUAGUGGGAGCUUAUAAGGUCAGACACAUAGAUUAAUAAAUUGGAGCAGACAAUUAAAAUAAAUGUGAUUUAUUUUAAUUCAUAGUUAAUUAAUAAAAUAAGAUUUAAUUAAUUAAUAAUGUAUUUAAUUAAAUAAGACGCAAUCUGAUAGGAUAAUUAAUUAGAUAUAAUUUAAUUAAUUAUCUAUAUAUAUCUUGUAACAUAAUUAUCUAUAGAUUUAAAUCAAAUAAGAUUUGAUAAGAUAAUUAUGUAUAUCAAAUAAAAUUUGAUAAAGAUAAUAUUUAAUUGGGAUUUGGAUAAAAUCGCUCUCCUAUAUAUACGAGAGAGCUGAAACUAACGCACUACAUGAAAUUUCAUUACUCAUUAUUGAGAAAAAAGUGUGUCACACCAAAUCCUUACUUGUUUACCAUCAGCUAGCACCGAGAUCCCGCUUCGAUUGUUGCUCACAUGGACUAAGUAAAGGCAUUGUAUUUUCGACGUUUGGUGAUCCAAGAACAACCUCUUGUUUUUGAAAGCAAGUUAUAAAGGUAACAUUCAAACCCUUAUUGACUCUUGCAUAAUGCGUGGUUCAUAAGAUGAAGUUCUUUCUUCUAUGGUCUCUAUGAAAAAUUUAAAAUUAUAGACCAUGAAACCCCAACAACCUUAACCUUCACUUAGGCACCUAAAGUUGAUCACCUUGACCAUCUCUAAAGCCACUAGUGUCAUAUGUCACCUAAACAUCAUUCUCUUACUCUUGACUACUCACUAGAAUCUCACUUCAUUGUUACAUUGGAUGGAAAUGUGUAUAACCAUUUUAUUUUUCUAAACUACCCAAUUAGGGUUCACAUCACCUCUCUAACAGACAUAACAUCUUUUUACAAUGUAAUUACACAACAUCCCUAAGUCAAACUCAUCCAUACAUAUAACCUAAACAAAUUCCAAUCAAGGAAAAAGGAAUAAAGCUGAACUUUUAAGGCAAGUAAUAACUAGAAAUUUAUAACAAAACUCAAUUCAAAUAAAGUCAUCUCAUACAAGUACAUCAAUGAAGACUAGCAGACCAUGAUAUCACAAUUCAAUCACUAAACAUCAUCAUGUGAACCCAAACAUCAACUAUCAAAAGUCAUCAUCAUAACAUCUGACUUAGACAAUGUUAUCAACAACAAACUCUACUCCAUGAGCUUCAUACCUUUACACUCUCUGAUCAUUCAGGGAGUCUCUUGGGCUGACCCUAUGAGGGAAGUGCAGUUUUAUUAAAAAUAGACAAGUGUGAGUAUUGCCUUACCUCUGUAGGUUUGCUAGACCUAACAUCUAUUGGGAUUCAUUCUCUCGUCUGUUCUAUAGGUUGAUUCUAGUUAGUCAUCACAAAAACCCCUAACAUUAGGUUGAGAGCCCACAUAGCACCUUCAACUUAUGUGCUUCCUCACCACACUUGGAAUCCCCUGUGGUCCUAAAUACGAUACCUCCAUACUUGUAAGCUACAAUGGCCUAACUUGAGGGUCUAAGUCUCAACAACAACAACCCAUCCCAUAUAUGCCAAAAGAGUCAACGAAGACUUUUGGGAAAACAAUUUUCACCACUCUAACACACCAUUCAAAGUUAAAAACAAAGGAGCAGGUACUCGGGAAGAUAUCCAACCAAACGAGACACUCACAUCAUAUAUAUCAUCAUCUCAUCAAUAACAUGCUACAUUUAAAUAAUUAUAGAAUUUUCAAUACAUUCAAGUUCUCCUUAACAAGAUAUUACAUUUCAAGAAUCAUUCAACCAUUUCAACAAUAAAGUACUACAUAUCUUAUAGAUAAAUUUACUACGUAUAUUUCAACAUUUAUAGGGUUCAUAAUUACAUUCAUCUUUUCAUGGCAAUAUCACAAACAAAAAAAUAACCCUCAUAAAAACAAUUUUACUCCUAUAUAGCUCAUAAAAUAAUUAUAUAUGCAAUUGGAAUUGGUUUGGAAACUCUUAACAAAGUAUUCAUGAUAAAACACUAUGUCUAAAUUUGGCUUAUCCAUAAGUUGUGGCUUAGCCAAUUUUCUCCAGACUUGUAUUUUGUCUAAAAUUUGGCUUAGCCGCUAUUGUCUCUUAGCCAAUUCUCUAGACUUGCAUAUUUGACACCUAUCCUGAAAUUCGCUUAGCCAAAAUAUUUAACUUCGACAAAAUCUGUGUUUCCUACAACAUGAGUUCCUUGUGAAUUCAAGCUCUCAACACCAUUAAUGGCUAUCCAGAAACUCAAAAUAAACACACAAAUAAUCAUCCCUAGUGCUUCCUAACACUAAACCUCAACAAAAAAACUCCAAAUCAAAGAAAAACAACACAAAAUCAUCAUUCUCUAUAAGCUCCAUGAAUAAUGUAUGAAAACAGAGAAGGGAGGAAUCAAGGAAAACUAUCAAUGAAAUACUCUGAGAAAAUGGAAAAGGGGAAGCACUCACACUCAGGGGUCUUAGAUUUGAGCUCCAACAUUGAGUCUUUAAUCUCUUCUCUAUUUCUCUCUUUUUCUCUUUUUCCUUAUCCUCCUAUCUAUCUUCCUUUACAUCUUUUUUUUCCUUUUCUCUCCCACUCUCUCUUCUCCUUUUCUCUUAAAGCAUGUGCGUGUGUGGGCUUUGUGGGCCUUGGCUCCCAUCUAGAUCCUAUUAUUGUAUUAUUUCAACUCCUAAUAAAAGGUAAUUGUUAUUAAUAAUGAUUAAAAAAAUCCUUUAACCAUUAAAUAUUGAAGUUAUUCCAUAAAAGAUGCCUCUUUAUUAUUUAUUUCAAAGGUCUAUAAAUUGGGGAUGUUAUAGUCUUUAUUUUUAAUUAGCAAAUGUUAGUUUUUGUUAACAGAAGGAAUUGAAAUCAUGACCUUGCCCUCCUUUCCUUCUCCAUUAACCAUCAAUCCACCUUAUAUCUCUAGGAUGUUAGAAUCUUGCUUUGAAUGUAAGCUCAAUUUCAUUUUUUUCUACCAUCAUCAUGUCUCGAACUUGGUACCCUUCAUUUUUUUUCUCAAGAAUUUGAUCCCUUUACAAUUUUAAUUAUACAAUUUUUCUCCAUCCGUUAACUUAACAUGCAGUCUAUUAAUAAAAUUGUUAACAUGACACUAUACUACACAUCCAUGUUACUGUAUGUUCCUACCAAAUUUGGAAGAAUCUUGUUACGAUGUUACUCCUCCUUGUACUCCUCCUAGUACGGUGGUGGGGUGUACAUGUGAAGAUACUUCGACACUCAAGUUAGAGGCACAAAGAUAGGAAACAUGUAUCAAUAGUGGAUUAGAAUUGAGUGAGUUACUUGGAACCCUUGUGACCUCUUUUACAAUGGUGAAAUUACAUCCAUAGGCCUAAUUUCUCUAAUUAGUUAGUGUUGAGAAGAUAAGAUUGAAUCUAAUCUUAUCUUAUUUGGUAACUAUGUGUCUGAUCUAUAGACAAUCUUAUCUUGAUUUUUUCUUUAUUUUUAUCUGACAAUCAAUGAAGAUAGACUUUCUCUCUUUCCUAAUUUAUCUCAAACGAGUCUCAUGGUGGCUAAGCAAGAUAUCUACUUGGCUGACCAUCGAAUAUAGAGGUUUGUUAAGUUUGAGUAGUACACCAAAUCCAUGUAAACAUUUUACUACCAUGCCAUUAUUUUCAUUAAAUAUUAGAUGUCAAGUUAAUGAAUGAACUAUAAUUCUACAAUUAAAAUACUGAGAGAGGGAUUAAAUUUGAAAAGAAAAAAUAGGAGAGCAAAAUUGAGAAAUGUUGAUGAUGAGGGGAAGUAAAUAUCAAGUCUUCAGUUUUGUUAAACAAAAAAAAAACAAAUAGAAAUGCAACGUAUCCAAUUUCAAAGCAUAAUAAUUUAUUAUUAUAUAAUAAAUUUUUUACAUUUUUAAAUAUGAAACAAGAUUUUAAAUAGACUAAUGAGCCUAGACAAACUUGUAUAAAGGUCAGACCCAAGCCUAAAAACAGGCUUGCGAUAGAUAACAAACUCAAGUUUGAGUUAUAGAAAUAUAAAGUAGGUUAGGCCAAGCUUAGGUAGGAUUUGUCUUGGUCCAACCCAUUGCACCCCUACAUAUGAUGUGAUCAUACAAAAAAAAUAUGAUAUAGGAAAGUUGUGCAUAAAAAGAUAUUGGAGUGACAUUUAUUAAGGAAAAAGUGAUUAAAAUAAAAAUAACUAAGAUGGUUUAAAUAAUAAUAAAAAGAUCAUUAGAGACACCAAUGAAAAAAAAGUAAAUUAUACUUCUUUCAUUCUUAUUUAUAAGACCAGAGUUUUAAAAGAAAAAAUAUCUGUUUUUAUAAUAUUUUAUUUCAAUUAUCUUGUAUAUUAAUUAUUUUCUUACUAAUUUUUUUUUACUAGAAAGAUCAUUAGGGAGUUUAGUUUUUAGCAUAUGAAAAGGGGCGGAGAAACAAGUAAGAUUGAAGAAAAUUAUUGAAAAAUAAUCUUAUAGAAAAUAAUAUUUUUAAAAAAAUUUCCAUUUUUAAUGAAAUUCAAACAUGAUUAAUAGAGUAAACUUUAUCAUAAGUCUAUAGUUAUUGUUGUUUUAAAAUUAGAUAGAACUAUUUUUCAUAAAAUUAAUCUUAAACUUUAAACAUAUUUAUAAUAUGAAUUUAAAUUAUAAAUUUACAUUCAAAGGUAUAUUUUUUCUUUUAUAAAAAAGCAUAAGAAUUGAUUUUAUUUUCUUAAUCCUAAAAUAAACAGCUUGUUAACCGCCGACUUAUGCUGGUCCAGUACAAACCGACCGGACCAGUAGAUAAUUACGAUGAAGAACAUAACCCCACAUUGGAUACCUCUUCUGCAUUUACAAGCACAGCCAAGCCCUAAAAUUGCACCUGUUUGCCUCCAACGCGCACAACACACACAGCAACUCUGGCAAAACACUAAGAGUGGCGUGACAGACAUUAAAUUCAAUUCCUCUCUCUCUCCAGCAAGCAAAGGCCGCACGCACCAGACGAAAUUUCCAAAACUGGCGCAUAUCAUUUACAAAAUUUGCAGCGUGGCACUAUUUAUAGUGGGGUAAACUUAUUUAAUUAUAAAAAGAAAAUCAUUAAAAUAAGGAUUUGAAUUACCCUAAAGUAUAUCCGGUGGAAGUAAUUACAUGACUUGUUUAACUUUUUUUUAUUUUUUUUUAUGCUGAGUUGCUUAAGUUCAAGCAAACGUUACAUGAUUUUCUAUUUUAUUUUUCAGUUGAGUAUAUGAUAUAAAAUUAUUUAUAUAAGUUGUUAUUUAUAUAAAUAAUCACUGUUGAAUAAUAUUUAUAUUAUAAAUAACAUAUAUUUUUUAAUCAUUAUAAAACUCGUAAAAUUAAGUUAAAUAUUGACUUUAACAAUUUUAGCAUUAAAAUAAAUUUUUGUAUAGGUUUUAAAUUUAUGUGAAAUUAUAAGCUUAUAAUAUUAAAAUAAGUAACUCAUCUAAGAAAUUAUAUAUUUUAGUCUAAUUAAUUUAUAUUUUAUAUUAAAUUAUUAAAUGAUGUAAUACUUAUUUAAGGUACAUUGUAAUUUGUUUGUUUCUCAUAUAUAAUAUAUAAUAUAAUAAAUUUUACUCAAUAAAAAUUUGACUUAAUUGUAGUUUGGUCUUUAAAUAUUGUAAUUGUGCUAAUCUGAUUUCUAAUUGCACAAACUGAAUCCCAUAAGUCAAUAAAUAAGUCGGUCAUAUGAUUUUUUUGGUAUUCAUGAUAUUGACUUAAAGUAUUCAUUAAUAAUUUUGUUAAUGAUUAAUUUUUUAUGAAAAUCAAUCAAUUAUUUUUAAUGAAUCUUUUUUUUCAAUUAUAUUUUUUUAUCCAUAAAAUUUAAAUUUAAAACUUAAGAGAUUCGAGCUUAGUAUUUUCGACUAAUAAUUUAUUGGUUUAAUUAUUCAGUUAUAAUCUUUCUAUUAGUGUUAUGUUUUUUUUUUUUAAAUACUAACUUAAUUAACUUGAUGAUGGAUGAUGAUAUAUCAAUGACACAGAUAUAUUAUCUUAUGCAUAUGUUGAUGUGGCUUAUGAUGUAAUUAAGUCACAUCAAUAUAUUAUUAGAUUCAGAUAGCACGUUAAUUAAGAUCUGAUAAAAUAUUUAAUAAAACAUUAAAAGUAAAUAAUAAUCGCUAAACAUCAUCAAAAUAUUAAUCAUUAGAUUCAAUUUUUGCAAUUAAAACCAGAAGAACUAAAUCAUACAAUUACAAUACUUAAAAUAAAAAAAAAUUAAACUUAAAUGUUAUAUUUAAAAAAAGGACGAAACUUAAAACUUAAAUACAAUUGUAUGAUUAAUUUUAGUAUUGUCUUUAAUGAGAAUUAAAGUUUUAUUCACUAAUUUAUGUAAUAAAACAUUUCAAUAAGUGAGGUAAAACUCCAAUUGAUUGAAGAAUACCACCAACACCAACACCACCACCACCUGCGAAACUGUAUCUCAAUUGUCCUUAAUAAAAAUGUUAAAUAGUACAUUAUUCUCCUUGCCUGUCAUUAUUUAUGUGCCCCCACUUUAAUUUUUCUGAUGUACUUAACCCAGGGCAAACUGAAACAUGUUCCUCAUGCAAAGCCCCAACUCAUCAUGCAUCAUGUACGUGUCAUCAUCCAGCAACUCCACUUUUGCUAUAUAACACCACCCCCAUCACACUCCCCAUCUCUAACACACACAUACCCCCAACUAACAAUAAUUCCUUCACUUGCAGAACUUAGUUCUCUGUUGCAUCAUCAUCAUCUUCAUUAGUGUUAGCCCUAAACUUCACCUUCAACCAUGACCACAGUGCCACCACACAGUGUCCAAGUGCACACAACAACACACCGCUACGAAGCCGGCGUCGUCCCGCCGGCUCGUUUUGAGGCGCCGCGUUACGAAGCCGGCAUCAAGGCGCCCUCUUCCAUUUACCAUUCCGAGAGAGGUCCGACGACCUCUCAGGUUCUCGCAGUUGUCGCCGGCCUUCCGGUCGGCGGCAUCCUCCUGCUCCUGGCAGGACUGACCCUGGCUGGAACUCUCACCGGGCUGGUGGUGGCAACACCGCUCUUCAUCAUCUUCAGCCCGGUGCUGAUUCCGGCCACGGUCGCAAUUGGCCUGGCCGUGGCCGGGUUCCUGACGUCGGGAGUCUUUGGGCUCACGGCGCUGUCGUCCUUCUCCUGGAUCCUGAACUACAUCCGGGAGACCCAGCCGGCGUCGGAGAAUCUGGCCGCUGCGGCGAAGCACCAUCUGGCGGAGGCGGCGGAGUACGUGGGGCAGAAGACCAAAGAAGUAGGGCAGAAAACCAAGGAAGUUGGGCAGGAUAUUCAGAGCAAGGCACAAGAUACAAGGGAAGCAGCUGCAAGAGAUGCAAGAGAUGCAAGGGAAGCAGCUGCAAGAGAUGCAAGGGAUGCAAAGGUGGAGGCGAGAGAUGUAAAGAGAACAACAGUGACAGCAACAACCGCAACCGCAUGAACGUGAUGAGUAUUAAUGUGUUGUUAUGAACUUAUGAUGUUGGUUUAUGUGGGGAAAUAAAUGAUGUAUGUACCUCUUCUUGCCUAUGUAGUAGGUUUGGGUGUUUUGUUGUCUAGCUUUGCUUAUUUAGUAAUUAGUAGAAGGGACGUUCGUUCGUGUCUCAUAAAAAGGGGUACUACCACUCUGGCAAUGUGAUUUGUAUUUGAUGAAUUCAAUGUGAAAUGUGUUUUGCGUUGGUGUAUGUAAUUUCUCGUCCAAUGUGCUUUUAGAACAACGUACGGUGAAAUUUAAGCUGUGCAUUGUUGAUAAUUCUUCGUUCAAAAUCAAAUUGCUAGCAAAUUUUAACUAACAUGAAAUUUUGUCAACAGUACAGCACUCAUUAACCAAGUUCCAAACUAAGAUGCGCCAUUAACAUCAACCAAUAGCAUUUUUCAGCAUAAGGAGGCUUUGACAUGCAAAAAUAUCUUAAUAUAUAGAUAAGCAUGUGAAGUAGGAAAUUAACUUGUUAAGAUUUGUUUCGCUUUUUCUUCAAUGAAAACAGUUCUUAUAUGUAUAAGAAAAAAAAUAAAUGAGUUUUCCUAUAAUUUUAAAUUAACUUAUACACAGGCUAGCCUUUAAAAAAAAAACCUAUACACAGGCUAAGUUUUAGAAGUUUUCUAGAAAUUAUGACAAUAAGCUUUGUUUAAAAAAAUAAUUAAAAUAAGCUAUUUUUAAAUUUUAGAAGCCCAUUUUAUUUUUUCUUGUUUUUCUCCUUUAUUUUCUUCUUUCUCAGAAAGAAACCAUCGUCAAAACUCAAAAGGCCUUCUCUGACGCAAGAUACCCUCUGCUGUGUGGGUUAUAAUAAAUUUUUUCUCUCCCGUUUAGUAAAAAAGUAACACUAUCUAACAAAAUGACGACGUGAGCUUGUUAAAACGUCUUUAACAUGUGUAAGACCUUAAUGUUACUAGGGGGAAAAAAAUAAUUGUCUAACCAAUAAAGAACAUUCUCAAUGUAGCUAAAACUUCAACAUAAAUUGCAUUCGGUGAUGGGAUUUACAAUUGAAUUGAAUUGACAAACAUCCUGGAGCAUCAUCAAAAUUUUCAAGAAAUGUAUCAAAACUAUGUAGCUUACCAAAUUCCCAAGUUAGUCAAUUUUUUUUUUCUGAAGUGCGUUAGUUAAAUUCUUGAUACAACAACAAAAACAAAGUUGUGGCUGGGCUGGGACAGGAAGAGCAUAUUUAAUUCAAUGUUGGGGUUAAGGUCCAGCUUCAGCAUCUGUGCCACCAUUAUUUAGCUUUGAAUCAUUAUUGGGUAUCCAAAACGUGAGAACACUUGAAGCUGCAGCGAACAUGGCCUUGUGAGGGGCCCACUUCAAGCACGAAGGAACACCAAUAUGGCUGGUCCAACAUGCCACCUGCAGGGAAGAAAACCAGAGGCUCAUCAUCGCAAAAAUUUUGCGCUAUUACAUUGACAAAAUAUAAAAUAUUGGUUAAAAUAUGACUUUUUCUUUUAAUCUUUUAUUAAAAUUUCAUUUAUUUUUAGGUCUUAAAAUUAAAAGUUAGGUACUUUUAAUCCUUGAUGAGUGACACCAUAUUUUUGUUGAAAUGCAGAGAUUAAAACGAUUUUUUUUAUAUAACAUUAAAACUAAAAACGAG
rnacentral:lncRNA from 1 species